rnacentral:misc_RNA from 1 species
UCCUCUCACAGGACCGAUUGGUUUCAAACCGUCCGGUUCCUGUUGAUGUUGGAGGCUGCGAAAGUUCUCACUUGUGGGAAACACGCUCCUCUCAAAUGCAUUGGUGCGGCCCGCUGCACAGUCUAUACAACGUUCUAGGUUCGUCCAACUCGUUGCUCGACUGCUGCAAACCUAUUGGUGCUGCACCUUAAGCCCGCCUUGUGCCUCGUGCUCUUGGCAAAACACAUCAAG